rnacentral:rRNA from 1 species
GCCAGACUCCUACGGGAGGCAGCAGUGGGGGAUAUUGCACAAUGGGGGAAACCCUGAUGCAACGACGCCGCGUGGGUGAAGAAGCGCCUCGGCGCGUAAAGCCCUGUCAGCAGGGAAGAAAAUGACGGUACCUGAAGAAGAAGCCCCGGCUAACUACGUGCCAGCAGCCGCGGUAAUACGUAGGGGGCAAGCGUUAUCCGGAUUUACUGGGUGUAAAGGGGGCGCAGACGGCGAUGCAAGCCAGGAGUGAAAGCCCGGGGCCCAACCCCGGGACUGCUCUUGGAACUGCGUGGCUGGAGUGCAGGAGGGGCAGGCGGAAUUCCUGGUGUAGCGGUGGAAUGCGCAGAUAUCGGGAAGAACACCGAUGGCGAAGGCAGCUCUCUGGGCCGGCACUGACGCUGAGGCGCGAAAGCUGGGGGAGCGAACAGGAUUAGAUACCCGUGUA